UUCCUUGUGCUAUCGACCGGCGUAGUUACACUUUCAUACUAGAACCAGAUAGAAAAAUGUCGAGAGCGAUUCGAAACAAACUCGGGUUCACUCAGUUCGUGACUCAGCCCAAUAUUCUUGGUUUCAAUUUAGGAUUAACAAAUUCAUGCUAUAGUAAGAGAUGGUUGGAAAUCCUAGCAUUUGAAGAAAUAAGAGCUUCAAAUGCAAUUGAAAAGCCGUAUGAUCGUACUGCAUUCAUUCUCCAUGGCCUUUUGGGUUCCGCAAGAAAUUGGCGAUCUUUCGCUCGCAACCUCUCUUCUUAUCUCUCCUCUAAUUUCUCAUCUGAAUGGAGAUUGGUGCUCGUUGACUUGAGAAACCAUGGAAAUUCAUCCGGGCUGCAAGGUCUUCAUCCACCGCAUGACCUUAACAAUGCUGCUGCUGAUUUGGCUAAUUUGGUGAAAGCUCAAGGUUGGGAUUGGCCUGAUGUUGUUGUGGGGCAUUCCUUGGGUGGUAAGGUUGCACUGCAGUUUGCUCAGAGUGGAGCUAGUGGAGAUUAUGGUGAUACCAUACCAUUGCCAAAACAGAUAUGGGUACUGGACUCGGUUCCGGGAGUUGUGAAUCCUGAAGAUAGUAAUGGAGAAGUGGAGCAAGUUUUGGAGACCUUGCAAAGUCUUCCAUCGCCAAUCCCUUCACGAAAGUGGCUUGUGGAACACAUGAUGAAGCUGGGAUUUUCAAAGUCAUUAUCUGAAUGGCUUGGCACUAACCUAAAGAAAUCUAAUGACCAUGAGACAUGGGCCUUUAACCUUGAAGGUGCUGUUGAGAUGUUCAAUUCUUACAGGGAGAAGGAUUAUUGGGCUCUCCUUGAGAACCCUCCAAGAGGAAUGGAAAUCUCAAUUGUGCAAGCUGAGAAGAGUGAUCGGUGGGAUUCACAUGUUGUACAGAGGCUUGAAACGCUUGCCAAGAAGGAAAGAGAUGGAUCUGAAGGGAUAUUUUCGCUUCAUGUUCUUCCUAAAUCUGGGCAUUGGGUUCACGUAGAUAACCCAAAGGGACUCUUGGAGAUUGUUGCUCCCAAGAUUGCUUCCCUGAAAUGAGGCAGAUUGCUGGAUAAAGAAACUUCCUGGUAUCUUCCACAGCAGUGCUCCAUUGGAGAUUCUGGCAAAAGGUUAGGAAGCUGGAAAAGUGUGCAAAUACUAAAGUGUGGCAAGAUAGAAGGUACAAGGAGAACGAUCAUCGCGAGUCCCUUUAAAUAGUGUGUUAAUCCGCCAAUGUAAUUUUGGUUCACACUCUCAUAUGUAUGGCUAUUAAACCUGUCAAAUAGGUCGGUCAUGUCGGGUUGUAAAAAAUUAUUUAUGAAUUCAUGUUAAUUCGGGUCAGUUACUUUCGGGUUUGUGUUUACAUAUGUUUGUUCAAGAUUCAAAAAUUUCGAGUUCGGGUCGA